rnacentral:rRNA from 1 species
UACAGAGGGUGCUAGCGUUACUCGGAAUUACUGGGCGUAAAGCGUGUGUAGGUGGUUAGAUAAGUUAGAUGUGAAAUCCCCGGGCUUAACCUGGGAAUUGCGUUUAAGACUGUUUAGCUUGAGUACUGUAGAGGAUAGUGGAAUUUCCAGUGUAGCGGUGAAAUGCGUAGAUAUUGGAAGGAACACCAGUGGCGAAGGCGACUAUCUGGACAGAUACUGACACUGAGACACGAAAGCGUGGGGAGCAAACAGG